rnacentral:rRNA from 1 species
GACGGAAGGUGCAAGCGUUGCUCGGAAUCACUGGGCGUAAAGGGUGCGUAGGCGGCCUGGUAAGUCUGGCGUGAAAGCCCAGGGCUCAGCCCUGGAAGUGCGCUAGAAACUGCGAGGCUCGAGUGCCGGAGGGGAGAGUGGAAUUCCUGGUGUAGCGGUGAAAUGCGUAGAUAUCAGGAGGAAUACCUGAGGCGAAGGCGGGCUACUGGGCCGAUACUGACGCUGAUGCGCGAAAGCCAGGGGAGCAAACGGG